UGCUUUUUUAAAAACCAGAAGGUCAGAAGGA
rnacentral:piRNA from 1 species